rnacentral:rRNA from 1 species
GAUGAACGCUGGCGGCGUGCCUAAUACAUGCAAGUCGAGCGAACGGACGAGAAGCUUGCUUCUCUGAUGUUAGCGGCGGACGGGUGAGUAACACGUGGAUAACCUACCUAUAAGACUGGGAUAACUUCGGGAAACCGUAGCUAAUACCGGAUAAUAUUUUGAACCGCAUGGUUCAAAAGUGAAAGACGGUCUUGCUGUCACUUAUGGAUGGAUCCGCGCUGCAUUAGCUAGUUGGUAAGGUAACGGCUUACCAAGGCAACGAUGCAUAGCCGACCUGAGAGGGUGAUCGGCCACACUGGAACUGAGACACGGUCCAUACUCCUACGGGAGGCAGCAGUAGGGAAUCUUCCGCAAUGGGCGAAAGCCUGACGGAGCAACGCCGCGUGAGUGAUGAAGGUCUUCGGAUCGUAAAACUCUGUUAUUAGGGAAGAACAUAUGUGUAAGUAACUGUGCACAUCUUGACGGUACCUAAUCAGAAAGCCACGGCUAACUACGUG